AAGUCGUAACAAGGUUUCCGUAGGUGAACCUGCGGAAGGAUCAUUAGCGAAGCUCGGAAUGCGCAUUCGGUCUGAUGCUGCCCGGCAACGGGAUGUGCUCGUCUGGAUGCGUGUCCCUUCUCUAUUCCACCCCUUUGUGAACCAAGUGUGCGAGCCGAAGAGAGAUCGGAGGCUCGCAUGCAAACCCUUAACAUACCCCAAUGAAGUAUCAGAAUGUACCUUGCGUUAACUCGCACAAAUACAACUUUCAACAACGGAUCUCUUGGCUCUC
rnacentral:misc_RNA from 1 species